UACGUAGGGUGCAAGCGUUUGUCCGGAAUUAUUGGGCGUAAAGAGCUCGUAGGCGGUUCGUCGCGUCGGCUGUGAAAUCCCGAGGCUCAACCUCGGGUCUGCAGUCGAUACGGGCGGACUGGAGUUCGGCAGGGGAGACUGGAAUUCCUGGUGUAGCGGUGAAAUGCGCAGAUAUCAGGAGGAACACCGGUGGCGAAGGCGGGUCUCUGGGCCGAUGACUGACGCUGAGGAGCGAAAGCGUGGGGAGCGAACAGG
rnacentral:rRNA from 1 species